rnacentral:rRNA from 1 species
AGCUCCAAUAGCAUAUAUUAAAGUUGUUGCAGUUAAAAGCUCGUAGUUGGAUUUCUGCGAAGAGUCAAUGUAAGGUCCAGUCCUGAUCAGCGACCUCCUUCGCAUCCUUCUGUUAUCACCACUCGGCAUUCACUUGCCGGUGGCUGACUCAGAGAAUUUACCUUGAGAAAAUUAGAGUGUUUCAGGCAGGCUAGGCCGGAAUACAUUAGCAUGGAAUAAUAGAAUAGGACUACGGUCUCGUUGUUGGUUUGAGGGACUGCAGUAAUGAUUAAUAGGGAUAGUUGGGGGCAUUAGUAUUCAAUUGUCAGAGGUGAAAUUCUCAGAUUUGUUAAAGACUAACUUAUGCGAAAGCAUUUGCCAAGGAUGUUUUCAUUAAUGCAAGAACGAAGUUAGAG